CAGAGAGAAAAUGGUGGAUUUAGCACACAUGAAUAGCUAAAUUCUACAAGUUUUUUACAAGGCUUUUUUCUUUCUUUUUUGAUGAUAAGUCUCGAUAUUAAGAAAGAAAAGAAAGAAGAAAGAAGGAAAGAAGAAAAAGAGAAAGAAAGAAAGAAAGAAAGAAAGAAAAAGAAAAGAAAAGAAAAGGCAGAAAGAGAAAGGUAACAAAAAAAAUAAAGUAGGGAGCAAGUGAUGGAAGGAAGAAAACUGAAAAAUAAUUUAUUCUAAACAAAUAUCCUUAGUAGCAAGAAAGACCUGCCUACAGAGUGGAAACUGAGAGAGAGAGGUUUGAUUCUCUAUGAUUUUACCCUCUUGCGUUUUAUGAAGAUUGAUAGAAGAGUUUAUUCUGUGACUCUGGAUUUCUUCUAUUGGCACAUUGGGAUGAAUAUUAUUAUAAGCAGAAGAUCAAAUUCUCUUAGAAGACGGCAUUUCCAGCUUACCAUUCAAAGAAAUUCCAUCCUCUGCCUUUUUGGAAAUAUCAAGAAAAUACCGUCAUUGAGGUUGUGGAGGUGAAAUGUAGCCCUUUCCUCAAUGUUUUUGCCAAGUCUUGUUGAUGCCAGAGUUUGUAGGAAAAAAGAUGAGUAGAAGAAAUCAGAGAAAUAGGAUGUAGCUGGGGCUUAAGCGGAGGAUUUCUCUCCUUUUUGAAAUUAAUUAUGGGGACACAUUGAGGUUGUUUUGAAGCCCUCAUGUAAACACUGAUAAAGACGAACUCUGAAGGAGCUAAUUCUAAACAAGUUGUCCUUUAUUGGAAAUAAGAAUAUGUGGUGGAGUUGUUUUCUCACCACCCUCACAGCUGGAAUAAUUUGUGUGGUAAUAAUUUCAUUGCUCCAGAGGGCUUAAAAGUUGAUCCUGAAGAUCAAAAGGGCUUUAUUAUUCAUUUUUGUCAUGGCCUCUCCUAAGCUUGAUAGUGUUUUGCUGUGGAAGUUAUCUGAGAAAUUAUUGGUCAGUCUCUCUUGGAGAACCCUUUAUCAAUUGCUUUGUAAAGUGAAUUUCUAAGAGCUGCAUCAGCCCAAGUCUCAGCAAAAGUUGAAAUGGAACCCUUACAAACUCAUUUGCCAUAACAGUUGGGAAUAAAACAGAAGAGCUGAGAAACA
rnacentral:lncRNA from 1 species